UCUCUGGUGGUCCAAUGGCUAAGACUCUAUACUUCCAAUGCAGGGGACCCAGGUUCAAUCCCUGAUCAGGGAA
rnacentral:tRNA from 1 species